rnacentral:rRNA from 1 species
AGUGAACGCUGGCGGUAGGCCUAAUACAUGCAAGUCGAACGGCAGCACAGUAAGAGUUUGCUCUUACGGGUGGCGAGUGGCGGAUGGGUGAGGCAUACAUCGGCAUCCUCUUUUUCGUGGGGGACAUCGUAGGGCAACUUCUGCUAAUACAGAAUAUGUCCAACGGGUGAAAGCAGGGGUUAAUCGGACCUUUCGCGUCUGAUUGAGCCGAUGCCGGUUUGGCUGGUUGGCGGGGUAAGGGCCCACCAUGGCAACGAUCCGUUGCUGGUCCGAGGGGAUGAUCGGCCACACUGGAACUGGGACACGGUCCAGACUCCUACGGGAGGCAGCAGUGGGAAAUAUUGGACAAGGGGCGCAAGCCUACGCCAGCCAGACCGCGUAGGUGAAGAAGGCCUUCGAGUGGUAAAGCCCGUUUGUAGGGAAAGAAAAGCAGCAGGUUAAGACCCCGCUGUUCGGACGGUACCCAAAGGAUAAGCACCGGCUAACUUCGU